rnacentral:lncRNA from 1 species
UGUGGAAGUCAUGGAAUAUAACUAUGUAUAGUAGUCUAGGCUUAAAGAAAUUUUAGGUUGUAAUAUAAAUUAUUGGGAGGAGUUUCAAACUCGGAUUAGAUGAGAGAAACACAUUGUUCUAGUCAACUAUAUUCAAGUCUGCUUCUAAAAACAUUUCUAGCUAGUGUGUAUAAAUACACAUUGAGGACUCUUAAAUGCGAGAGUAACUGACAUGGAACAAGUUCAUUGCGAACGUGAUGCCCUUGUCUAAUAAUCUAUUAUCAUGUGUAUAUAAGUUUAUGUGGCGGUGAAUCUAUUUCAUGUAAGUUCUUCUUUUUAAAUGCUCAUCCAAUAUAUAGGAAUUUUCUUUUUGAAUGAUGAAAACUUUUAUGCAUCUGUUUUAUAAAACGGUUAUCUCAUAUUCAUAGUCAUGUACUACUCACAUGAUAUAUAGCAAAUAUGUGAACUAAUUUCGUGAGACAACGAGUGCAUAAUAAUUUUUCUUUUCUAUUUGGAGGGAGGAGGGAUGUUGACUUGUUAUACUAUUUGGAACUUUCUAGCUGUCACCCCAUUGAGGCAUCAGGUAAGAGUAAUCUUCAUGUUCACUAUUUGAGGUUUGAUUGCCUUAUAAAACUUGAUUGAGAGAGAGAUAGAGAGGUGGCAAUCACAUGAGAGAGUGGGACCACGAAACAAAUUAGAUCAAAACUAUGUUCAGCAUAGCUUAAAUAAUCCAAGAUUGAGAGCCUAAUUAACAUCAUUGUCACAAGUAUGUGAAAAUUACUUCAUAAUUUACAUAUCUAAUAAAUGUGAGAUCAACGUAUACAACUUACAUAUCAUUUUUGUCCUCUUAUAUGCCUUUUUAUUAAACUUCUAAUCAUCAGAUUGAAUAAAUCAAAUCAAAAAUGAACAAUGUUAAAUAUGGGUGUAAGAAAGGGAAAGUAAAGUGUGUGGUCAUAUUUUCAAUUAGAGAUAUAAUUUCAUUUUUUGUUUCUUUGCAAUCAACAAAAAAAAGGAGGAUUAGAAAUUUCUUCCAACAUU